CUCGUAGGUGGCCAACUAAGUCGGACGUGAAAUCCCUCGGCUUAACCGGGGAACUGCGUCCGAUACUGGUUGGCUUGAGUUUGGGAGAGGGAUGCGGAAUUCCAGGUGUAGCGGUGAAAUGCGUAGAUAUCUGGAGGAACACCGGUGGCGAAGGCGGCAUCCUGGACCAAUACUGACGCUGAGGAGCGAAAGCCAGGGGAAGCAAACG
rnacentral:rRNA from 1 species